rnacentral:tRNA from 1 species
ACCUGACUGGCUCAGUCAGUAGAGCUCGUGACUCCUAAUCUUGGGGUUUUAAGUUGGAGCCCUAUGUCGGGUG